GAAAUGCGAUAAGUAGUGUGAAUUGCAGAAUUCAGUGAAUCAUCGAAUCUUUGAACGCACAUUGCGCCUCCUGGUAUUCCGGGAGGCAUGCCUGUCCGAGCGUCAUUAAACAAAUUCAAGCUUCUUUUUAAUUUUUGCUUGGUCUUGAGGGAUGAGCGAGACAGAAUAGAACUUUUUAAAAUUCUUGUUCUAUCUUGCUCACCCAUCGAAUUUCAGUGGCGGAUUUAAGCACAGUUGGCCCGGUGUGAUACGGUUUUUCAUGUCAUCGGUCCAGCGUGUGGUAACCUCCUGCCCAUAGAAACUCCCCUCUAAUAUUAUGAUUCAACGACCUCGGAUCAGGUAGGGAUACCCGCUGAACUUAA
rnacentral:misc_RNA from 1 species